rnacentral:tRNA from 1 species
GGGCGGUUAGCACAGCUGGGAGAGCACCUGGUUUACACCCAGGGGGUCGGGGGUUCGAGCCCCUCACCGCCCA